rnacentral:rRNA from 1 species
AUGAUCCAGCCAACUGAUAUUGAUCAUGAUGGUACUGUGAAAUAUUGUCGAGUCCAUGAUAUGGUGCUUGACCUUAUCAUAUCUUUAUCAGAUGAAGAGAAUUUUGCCACUGUUUUAAAUGGACGUGUAUGCAAUUCUUUUCCAAGCAAGAUUCGACGUCUCUCCAUGCAAUUAAGUGGCAAAGAGCAUAAUGGCACAAACCGUGCGAUUACAGAAACCAAGCUACAUCUUCGCUCACUGACUACCUUUUGGCAAGUUCAGCAGGUACCCCCCCUUGUCCUUGUGGACUUCCAUGCUUUGCGGGUGUUGGAUCUUGAGGGAUUUUAUUAUUUGGAAAACAAGCAUGUAAAACAUAUAGGAAGCUCGCGUCAGCUGAGAUAUUUGAGAAUUCGCAGUGGGAAAAUUACUGAGCUUCCUGCUGAAAUCGGAAAGCUGCAGCACUUACAAACUCUCGAUUUGAGAGGCUGUUAUUAUCUUGAAAGACUGCCAUCAACUGUGGUGCAGUUGCAGACAUUGGUGCGCCUAUUUGUCAGCGGUUACACACAAUUACCUGCAAGUGGGUUCCGGAGUCUGCAAGCCUUGGGGGAGUUACGAUUCAGUGAAACUGACGACCCAGUGAGAUUUGCGGAGGAAGUAAAUGAGUUGGGCAAAUGCAACCUUCGCUAUCUUCGUACUGGAGAGAUAGCCGAGCGUCUGUUCUGUAACCCGUGCUGCACCUACCCUUGCCUCCAAGUUCUUAAAAUUAAGUCAGAUAUUGUAAUGGAAAUGGUUCCCAGGAGCAUGGCCUCCCUUCAAAAUCUCAUGAGACUAUGGAUAGAGGUCAGGGAAUUUGAGGAGGAGGGUCUCCAAGUCCUGAUGGGCAUGCCUUCUCUGGCCCAUCUUCAGCUAAACAUACAAACUGAGAUGAAAGAAAAGCUGGCCGUGGGUAGUAAUGGAUUCAAACUCCUAAAGGUCUUUCGCUUCAAAUAUAGGUCAAACCCUUCUGCUUUUAAAUUUGAACGAACAUCAAGUGGUGGACUGGACAUCUCAGAAAAUAAACCAGAUGGACUGGGGCUAACAUUUGUUCCAGGUGCUGUGCCAGCACUCCGAUGGCUCUGUCUUAAAUUGAGCCCCAUGACGGUGGCGUCAGAUUUUUUUGUAGACUUGGGUGUCGAGCAUCUUCCAGGCCUUGUAGACCUCAAGGUCGAAAUCAAUUGUAACAGAGCAGCUCCAGGCCGGGUGGAAGCCGUGGAGUCUUCCGUUGAAAAAGCAAUCAACCUGCACCCCAACUGUGAAAUCCAUGUCCACAGAGUCUCUGAAUAUCUCAUGUUUAAGGAUGAAAAGGACUGGGAAGAGGCCGUCUUGAAGGAAAGAAAGGAGAUGUAG